rnacentral:rRNA from 1 species
AUUGAACGCUGGCGGCAGGCCUAACACAUGCAAGUCGAACGAGUGGCGGACGGGUGAGUAAUGUCUGGGAAACUGCCUGUUGGGGGGGGAUAACAACUGGAAACGGUAUCUAAUACCCCACACCCUCAGAAGUGCCCAGAUGGGAUUAGCUAGUAGGUGGGGUAACGGCUCACCUAGGCGACGAUCCCUAGCUGGUCUCAGAGGAUGACCAGACACACUGGAACGGAGAAACGGUCCAGACUCCUACGGGAGGCAGCAGUGGGGAAUAUUGCACAAUGGGCGCAAGCCUGAUGCAGCCAUGCCGCGUGUAUGAAGAAGGCCUUCGGGUUGUAAAGUACUUUCAGCGGGGAGGCGUUACCCGCAGAAGAAGCACCGGCUAACUCCGUGCCAGCAGCCGCGGUAAUAC